CAAAAACAAUGGAAACCAGAAAGCUGGAAGAGACGAACAAAAGAAGGAAAAUGGUUCCUUGACUGUUAUUUUCAAAGUUGAUUGUCUUUGUGAUGACUGUGCUUCCAGAAUCCUUAAAUGUGUUCGUGAAUUACAAGGAGUGGAGACAGUGAAAACGGAUAGAAACGCAAACAGAGUGACAGUGAUAGGAUCUGUGGACCCAACAGCCAUUAAAGACAACAUUGCGAAGAAGUCCAAGAAGAAGGUUGAUGUCGUUCCUCAACUUAAGAAAGAUGAUAAGAAGAGAAAAAACCUGACGAAAACAAAAACCAGGGCUACGAUAAUAAACAAGAGAGAAGACCCAAAGAGGCCCUGUUAACGACGGCGGAUUUGAAGGUGCAAUUGAAAUGCCAGUGCCAAGGAUGCAUUCUAAAGGUUCGCAGAAUUGUCUCUGAAACCAAAGGUGACGCCUUUUAUCAAUUGUUUUGGGCUGUAGAUAUCAUAGGUUUUUAUUCACCC